AGUCUGUACACCUGUCACACCAGAGGGCGCGUACAGUGCCUGCACACCUUGCUGUUUUCACAUUACGUGUCCUGCAGUGUAUCAGAACAUUUCAGGCUAUGGGAUUCUUCGUUUUACCCGUGAACAAAAUUCCAUCAAGUGGAGGCCUUAAUUGCUGCCUAAGCAGGACCCACUGGUGUUCAUUCACAUAGGGCGUUUCCAAUCUCUCCUGCAAGCAAAGGAUUGCCAGAUACUCCCCCUCCUCGAGCACAGAGUAUCAUUUCGUAAAUCUGAAAACACACCUCAAGGAUACAUUCUUCAUUUCUUUAAAAUCAAAAUGUUUCAUUUUUGAAACAAACAUAAAACACCAUGAAAGGGCAUAUCAGAAAAUAUAAGAGGAGAUCCAUAUCGCUCACCCCUACUUCCUAGAAGUGACCAAUAAUUCAUAUUAUUUCAUGUCUUGCACCUGUGGCUUAAUAUAUAUGAUUGGUUGCAAAACCAGCCACAACACUUCACACCUCUUUGGGUGCACUGUCCCUUGUGACUUUGUAGCUCGUCCCACUAAGAGUCAGAGUCUGUUUCUCCCUACAUUAAAUCUGAGCUUGGCCCUAUUCCUGGCUUUGGCCAUUAGAAUGUGGAAGUGAUGGUGUGCCAGUUCCAGGCCUAGGUCUCAAGAAGCUUUACAUGCUUCUGCUAACUCUUUUGGAACCUUGCUGCCCCAUGGGAAUAAACCAUGGCUAGCCUGCUGGAAGAUGAGAGAUACAUGGAACAGGGGAGACUCAUCCCAGUUGCCCCAGUCAAAGUUCCAGAGAGCAGCUCCUUGAAAUCUAAUCUGAUGUCCCAACUCCAACCCUUACCCCCUACCCCAUGCCAGCUUCCCCAGCAAAAUCAGAGCCCUCCAUCCAACCAGAGGCAGAGUAUAGCGACCUAGGUAUCUCUACAGAGGUGGGAGGUGGGGGGUGGGCAAGGCUUGGAGGAAGCCAUAUGCAUGCUCAUUUUGUAUGCCAGAGAGCAGAGGUCUUUCCAAAUGUGUCUUUGGGAGAAAAAUUGUAAAAUGGUCACCAAAGACUGUCCCUCUUACCUCCUGCCUGUUCUAGUUGGUCUUUCAUUCACUCAACACACUUUUGUUGAGCACCCACUACAUACCAGGUCUAGGUGUCAGGGAUAUAGCCAUGAGCAACACUGACAUUCUCUGCAAGUUACAUGCUAAAUGGAUGAGACAGACGAUAUGCAUUUAAGCUCAUGAUUAUAUGUCAGUAAGUAAUAAGUGUUCAGAAAGAAAUAAAGCAGGGUAAAGAGACAGCAGUGAUGGGAUAGCCAAGGAAUGCCCAUCAGGGAAGGGAUGUGUGAACAGACACUGGAACAAUAACAAGGAGUGAGCCCGGCAGACAUUCUAGGCCAAGGGUGUAACAGCGUGUGCAAAGGCCUGGAGGUCCCUUUGUUCCUAAGAUCCUGAGCUCAAGGUUGGAGUGAGUGUGCAGAAAUGCUGGAGGAACAGCCAGGAGGCAGGUGUGGCUGGAGCAGAGUUAGCAUGGGGUGUGGGGAGUGGGGAACAAGGAUAGAGGUGUCUCCUGUCACUCCACUCCCUCUUCCAAUCCUCAACACCCCCCCUCCCACCAUCUGCAAACUGACCUCUCCAUCCUUUUUCCUCUUGUCCAAGGCUGAUCCCUCCCCCCAAGCUCUGGAUCCCAUUUAGCCCUUUAUGCCUCCUCAGAUGCCUCCUGCCUCCCUCCAGCCUGAGAUUCUUAGCACACAUCAUUCCCUCUCCCUCCAAGUCCUCCCCACCCCUUUUCGCCUAGCUGUGCAUCUUUUCAGGUCCAGGCAGGCCUCACAUUUCCUGAAGGCUUCUCUGGUGCCCCAGGCUGGGUUGGAGGCCCUGUGGGCUCCCUCACUUGCCUGAGCUUCCACCCUGUGGAUCUGACUCACUGGCAAGGUCAUGAGCUCCCAGGGCCUAGCAAAUGUCUGAUUCCCCUUUGCAUCCCCAGGCCUGAGCUCUGGGUUUGGCCAGGUAUGCAGAUGUCAUUCCUAUGGCUUCAGGCUAAGACAUCUGGCUCCCCAGAUGUGUCUUCUGCACCAUCUCCCCUGCUUGUCCCUGUAGCCUGGGACAGUUGAGUCUCCGCCACCAAGACCUAUUUGCUGCUCACUAAGCCGAUCUGGUGUUUCCUGUCCACCCCCACCAUAAUAAGCCACUCCCAUUCCUGUCUCCUUAGCCCAAAUCUCCUCCAUCAAAACCAGCUGGAGCCUGUUUUGAUUGGAGCAGCACAAAGCACACGAGAAACAGCUAGACAGCAAUUCUUACCAGCAUCCCGUCAUUUCAUAUGAGCACACUGUGGCUCCUGAGCCAGGAAGACGGAGUCAGGAGGGCCUUGGCCAUCAGCUUUGGCAAGACUCCUACCAGACAUUCAGAGAGGUUGUGGGAUCCGCCCAAGGCCAGCCCUUGAAUCCUGAUCCUUAGAUUCCAGAUCCUAAGCUCAAAACCCUUGCACAUUCUUAAGUCCUCCCUAUGACACUCUGAAGUGAGCAAUGAUAUCACGCCCAUUUUAUAGCCCAGAAAACUGAGGCCCAGCUUGUGAAUGACAGAGGCAGAACUUGACCCCAAGUCUGGGGACUAUCUCUGUGUUCCUCACACAUCUCCAUACGUAAGCCGAUUGAUAAUAAGGAGAGAUGUUUUCUUUCCCUCUCUUUUGGCCUUUUUCCUAUUUUUGAGGAUUUAGGGUAGCAGCUGUCCUGGAAAAAACAGGACAUGCAGUGCCCAGCCAGGCACCGGCUGGCUGGAGGUGGGAGGCAGGAGCUGUGAAUUAAUUGGUCAGCCCCUUUGAGUUGGGAGCAAGCCUCUGAGUGCAUCUCCAUUGUUUUGCGGCUUAGAGACCUGGGGAGGUGGAGUGCCUCACCUCCCAGCGGCCACACGUUGACCUUGGAGCUGGGGUGUAACUUCAGGCACUGUUGACGAAUGGAAAGUAGCUGGAGUCCUGGGGCGGGGAUACUGCCCUGUUUGUGUUUUGUCAUCUGUCUUUGGUGUCCCAGGCUUUAGGGCUGGGUUAGGACUGUAAAAGCAGGGAUGGUCUUAACGUUUGGUUAUUUCUUGGCAUGAAGAGGUAGGAUGUGGGCAUCCUGCAGCAUUUAGCUGACAUCCAUAUCCAAUGGUAAAAUCAUGUCUCCUGCCUGGGACUGCUACACGGACAUGCAAUUAGUACCUGGCAACACACACACGCACACACACAAGGGUCUGCGGAGCCCCAAAGCUGAGGAAAUCCUGCAGGUUUUGAAGCAUUUAGUCAACACCUACUGUAUACCAGGCACGCACUGACCACAACACUGGCUAGGGGUGCUGCGGAUGACCUUGGUGCACCCUUAGCCUCCUGAAGCCUUGGUUGCCUCAGCUGGAAGGAGGAGAUAAUGAUAAUACUGGCCUCAUGAUCCUGUAGACAAUGAGGGGGAUAAACACCACAGCCUCGAGAGGGUCCAUCCCAGCUGCCAAAGUGCUGGUCAGGAACUGAAGCACAAACGGCUCUGUGAAAAUUAAAUAAUUUGGCUCCUCCAAAUCUUAGGAGAUUUUUUUUUUAUCAAUUUCAUGUCAUGGACUGGAUGGAAUUGGAACUAAAAUCCACAUGACUUUUGAAUGAAAUACACAUGGGAAAGAGAGAAGAAGAAAACUCAUGCUGACUACUCAUAAUAGCCAAGAUAGGGAAACAGCCUAGGUGUCCAGCAUCGAUAAAUGAAUGGAUAAAGAAGAUGUGGUGUUCACGUACAACGGAAUAGUAUUCAGCCAUGAGGAAGAAGGCAAGCCUGCCAUUUGCUGUGGCUUGGAUGAAACUUGAGAGCAUGAUGCUAAGCGAGGUAACUCAGAGAAAAACAAAUACUAUAUGGUCUCACCUGUAGGCGGAAUCUGAAAAAGUCAAACUCAGAGAAACGGAGUAGAGUCGUGGUCGCCAGGCAUCAGGAGUGUGGAAAAUGGGGAGCUCUUGGUCAAAGGUAGGGCGCCUUGUCUUCUGUUGAAAUCCUUGCCUCCCGAAGGCCAUAAAGACUGCCUUGAAUGCUCUACACUGCAGUCUAUCAUCCACCUUGGAUCAUGUCUAUGCAUGGAACAUCAAGUCAAGGUUUGCGAUUUUCCAUAUGAUGUCCAGUCAUUCCAGCAUGAUGUGUUGAAAGUCAUUCCUUUCCCCCACUGAACUGCUGUGGUGCUUUGGAAUAUGGAACACUGCAUAGCAACAAACACAAGAAGCUGCUGCCUCCUAUGACAGCAUGGGUAAAGUCUGUAGAUUUUACGGUAAACGAGAGAAGCCAGACACAAAGGAAUGUGCAGCACGAUUCCAUUUAUAGGAUGUUCCAAAGAGGCCUCUGCAGUGACAGGGUGAUAGUGGAUGCCUUGGGGUGGGGUGUCACCUGGGAGGGGGCACAAGGGAUCCUUCUGGGGUGUGGAAGUGUUCUUUAUCUCCACCUUGGGUGGUGCUCCACAGGUGUCUGCAAAUGAAAACAAAAAUCGAUGAGCUGUACCAUUAGGAACAUUCUUUUAAAUUAGUGUGCAAACAGCCACUGUUUGUAUGCUAUAUGCUGAUUAAAAAAAAAAGUUCUUAGAGCACCCAGGAGGAAAAGAUGCAUUCAGGCAGCGGGUGUUCACUGUGGAAGCUGUGAAGAGACUUUUCAGAGCUGGAGAAAUAAAAAGAGAAGCAGCCCCUGGAAGCUGGCCUGACUUCUAGCUGUUUAUGUCCCCCCAUGGGACAUAAACAGGCUCACAAAACACCAACCUCACCCGAGGUCCCUCUGGGACAGUGAGAGGGUGAGACACAGCAAGGCCACUUCACAAUUGUUUCUCAGCAUGGACAAAACGAGGUCCCCAUGCUACCCACAAAACCCCAAGCUCCCUCUCUCAUUGAGCCUCUUAUUAAGCUAAAAUAAAUAUGUCUCUACC